rnacentral:rRNA from 1 species
UCCCUCAGUAAUGGCGAAUGAACAGGGAUAAGCUCAGCAUGGAAAUUGGGGCCCUCGGCCUUGAAUUGUAGUCUUGAGAUGGCAUUGCCAGUGGAGGCGCAGAUGUAAGCCUCUUGGAAAAGAGCAUCAAUGAGGGUGAGAGUCCCGUCUGUCAUCUGCAGUCCCCCAUGCACGGUGUGCUUUCUAAGAGUCACGUUCCUUGGGAUUGGAGCGCAAAUUGGGUGGUAAAUUUCAUCUAAAGCUAAAUAUUGGUUCGAGACCGAUAGCAAACAAGUACCAUGAGGGAAAGGUGAAAAGGACUUUGAAAAGAGAGUUAAAAGUGCCUGAAAUUGCUGAAAGGGAAGCGAAUGGAACCAGUCUUCUUGGCGAGAUUGUUGCGCGCUACUGUGAUUGCUCGCUGCUUCAACGCAAGUGUUGCAGUGGGUUUUGAGCAUGACGUGCGCUUUGUUUCUUGCCUCGUGUGUCAACGUCGGUUCGGACUUGAGGAAAACUCCAGGGACAUGGUUAAUCGCUCGCGGGUGAUUGAACGUGCCUGGCAGAACUCAUUUCUUAACUGAUUUCUGCAUGUCUGGUCGCAGUGCUCUCAUUGCCUGUGCUCGUCGCUUCGGGUGGGGCCUCGGCCUCUCGUCGUCGCUUCGUGCCUGGUCGUGGGGCAUCUCCCUGACAUAAGUACGAUGACAAAAUGGUUUUAUUCGACCCGUC